rnacentral:rRNA from 1 species
GAACGCGAAGAACCUUACCAGGUCUUGACAUCCCGAUGCUAUUUCUAGAGAUAGAAAGUUACUUCGGUACAUCGGUGACAGGUGGUGCAUGGUUGUCGUCAGCUCGUGUCGUGAGAUGUUGGGUUAAGUCCCGCAACGAGCGCAACCCCUAUUGUUAGUUGCCAUCAUUUAGUUGGGCACUCUAGCGAGACUGCCGGUAAUAAACCGGAGGAAGGUGGGGAUGACGUCAAAUCAUCAUGCCCCUUAUGACCUGGCUACACACGUGCUACAAUGGCUGGUACAACGAGUCGCAAGCCGGUGACGGCGAGCUAAUCUCUUAAAGCCAGUCUCAGUUCGGAUUGUAGGCUGCAACUCGCCUACAUGAAGUCGGAAUCGCUAGUAAUCGCGGAUCAGCACGCCGCGGUGAAUACGUUCCCGGGUCUUGUACACACC